rnacentral:rRNA from 1 species
GAGUUUGAUCGUGGCUCAGGAUGAACGCUGGCGGCGUGCCUAAUACAUGCAAGUCGAACGAAACUUCUUUAUCACCGAGUGCUUGCACUCACCGAUAAAGAGUUGAGUGGCGAACGGGUGAGUAACACGUGGGCAACCUGCCCAAAAGAGGGGGAUAACGCUUGGAAACAGGUGCUAAUACCGCAUAACCAUAGUUACCGCAUGGUAACUAUGUAAAAGGUGGCUAUGCUACGCGUUUUGGAUGGGCCCGCGGCGCAUUAGCUAGUUGGUGGGGUAAAGGCUUACCAAGGCAAUGAUGCGUAGCCGAACUGAGAGGUUGAUCGGCCACAUUGGGACUGAGACACGGCCCAAACUCCUACGAGAGGCAGCAGUAGGGAAUCUUCCACAAUGGGCGAAAGCCUGAUGGAGCAACGCCGCGUGGGUGAAGAAGGUUUUCGGUACGUAAACCCUGUUGUUAGAGAAGAAGUGCGUGAG